ACAAUGAUACUUCUGACCGUUCAGGCUGCCAUCGUAAAAGAGCAGCAAGUGAAAUUCUUAUGA
rfam:Streptococcus pneumoniae 2070335 gspj15.contig.5, whole genome shotgun sequence.